rnacentral:rRNA from 1 species
GACGAACCGUGCGAACGUUGUUCGGAAUCACUGGGCUUAAAGGGCGCGUAGGCGGUUUGCCAAGUCAGGGGUGAAAUCCUGCAGCUCAACUGUAGAAGUGCCUUUGAUACUGGCGAACUCGAGGGAGGUAGGGGUGCGCGGAACUUCUGGUGGAGCGGUGAAAUGCGUUGAUAUCAGAAGGAACGCCGGUGGCGAAAGCGGCGCACUGGACCUUUUCUAACGCUGAGGCGCGAAAGCUAGGGGAGCAAACGGG